rnacentral:sRNA from 1 species
GAACCCAGGGCCUUGCGCUUCCUAGGUAAGCGCUCUACCACUGAGCUAAAUCCCCAGCCCCGAGAUAUUUCUAUACAUAGAAGUGAUGCCUUCUAGAUCUUCUAGACACAUAGGUGUACACAUAGAUGGGACACAUAGAUUGGACACAUAGAUGGGACACAGACACAGAGGUAUCUUUUGGAUGGGACAUAGGCACAGAGUUGUCAUUUGUAUGGGACAUGGGCUUAGGAGUUCCAUAGAACAUAGACACAAAGAUGUUUCCUGAAUGAAACAUGGGCACAUGGGAUUCCACAGGACAACAAAACAGAGUUGUCACCUUGAUUGGAUAAGGGGACAGGGGUCUCCUAGAUAGAACAGAAGCACAGAGAUGUCACCUGGAUAGGACAUAAACAUAAAGGUGUUACCAGGAUAGGACACAGACAGAGCUGUCUCCUAGAUGGGACAUGGACAUAGGUGUCAUAUGGAGGGGAUAAUGCCACAAAGGUGUCACCUAGAUAGUACAUAGGCACAGAGGUGUCACCUUGAUGAGACAGGGGUACAGAGGUAACUCCUAGCUGGACAUGGGCACAUAGGUGUCAUUCUGAUGGGACAUAAGGACAGAAUUGUAUCUUGGGUUGGUCAUGGGCACAGAGGUGUCACCUAGGUGAAACAUGGUCACAGUGGUAUCAUCGGCAUGAAGAUAUAUACACAGUCACAUCCAAGGAUGGGAGCAUGAGUAUCAUGGUAUGACUUGGAUAGGGACAGGACAUUGUAUGUCAUCCAAAGCAGAUUGAAGAUGCCAUCUAUAAACUACAUGCAACUAAGGAGAAACCAGCCCUACAGACGUGGGCACCUUGACUUUGGCCUUGAUAUUUUGUGGUAUAAGAGAACUGAUUUUUGUGUGGGAAGAUGGUCUCUUAUAGCCCCUGCUGACCCCAGACUAGCUAUGUAGUUAAGGUGACCUCUAAUCUCUGAUCUUCCUGCCUUCACCUCUUGAGUGUUCAGAUUGCAGGUUUGUACCAUUAUGUCUAAUUUAUGAUUCUGCUUUUCCAAACACGCACUUCUUAAUGUUUCUUACAACUCCUGGUCAACUAGCCUAGAGAAGAUUAACCUGGAGGGUGGUUUGAAUGACACCCAUAGGUUCAUAGAUUUGACUGCUUGGUUACCAGGAGUGGCACUAUAUGAAACCAUCAGGAGCCAUGACCUUGUUUGGAGGAAGUGCGUCACUGGGCUUUUGAGAUUUCAAGGGCCCAAGCCAGGCCCUUGCUUUCUCUUUCUGCUGUCUAUGCAUCUAGACAGAGCAGACUAAACCUAUGAAACUAUAAGCAAGCCCAGAAUAAAUGCUUUUUAAAAAAAUAGCCACAAUUGCCACAUCAUGAUGGCUCUUCACAGCAACAGAACACCGACUAAAACGGAGAGCAGCAGCUAACUGUGUGUCACAGGUGGGUUCCAGAUGCUUGCAGCUGCAGCCCAGGUGUGUGGUGUUAGCCCUUUGCUGUUCUAGCCAGUCCAUUAUCUGAGUUCUGAGCUGAAUGCUCUGCAGCUUCCUCAUGAAAGGUGCCAGCUUGCCUUGGCAACCCCUCACUGUUGUUUGGGAGUAUGUGUGGGUAUUUUGAGGUGCUCCCAAAAGCAGGAAUUUAUUCUAGCACAGCUCUGGACACCAUAAGCCCGAGAUCAAGGUAUCUCUCAGAAGGCUUCAGGAGAGGAUCCUUCCUGCUUCUUCCACACUCUGGAGACCCUAGAGGUCCUUAACUUGUGACUUUAUUCCCCAAACCUAUGCUUCCUUUUUACAGAAGCUUUCCCUGUGUCUAUGUCUCUAUCUAAACUUUCUCUUCUAAUGGAUGCAGAUGCCACCAUGGAAUCCAGGGCACUCUUAACCGGCGUAGAUCAGGAAGGAUCACUGAAUUACAUUUGCAUCAACCCGAUGUUGAGGAGUUUAGACAUCCUGAACAUGUUUGGCACACAGUGGCCAUCAGCCACAAUGAGAACAGCAUGAAUGAAGUCAAGGGACACACCCAGAAGAACAGCAAGCUGCCUUGACCAGAACCUCGAAGGAUCGCUUUGAAGCUGACAGAUCUGAUGGUGUUCUGACACUUCUGUCUGUGUAGCAUUCCAAGCGCUAACAACCAGAGAUCAAAAUAUUGGACAACUGUGAGAGAUAUCGAAGAUACCAGCCUGUGGUAUCAAAUGCUCAGCCAAUGUUUCAUUCUUUAUGUAAAAAAUAAAUGUAUCCAUGUCAUUAGCAUAGAGAUUUCUUUCAUCGUUAAUGAAUGGUGAAAUUAUAUCUCUAUCAAGGAAUUGUUUUGAAAUAAAUUUAUUUAUGAUUGGUGAUGAGUCAGCUUGAUUUACACUCCAUCUUCUCUUCCUAUAUGCUUGAGGUCAUGUAAAGUUUUCUUGGGUGAAAUAGAACAGAAAGUGGUAAGUGACAAAUUUCUGUCUUGACACUCAUUUUCCAAGGGUCUUGCUAUGAGGCUGGUUACAUGUCACUUGUGAUAAUGGAGCAAAACUUCACCCUCAGCCAGUCCCCACUAGUGUUCCCUGCUAUGGAGUGCAUUAAUAUCCUAUUGCCUCCUCCUGCUUACUGAUCUUUGACUCCAAAUGAUGAAUCUUAGCAUUUGAGGUAUGGGAUGCCCAUCCCCUAGGAAUCUGUUCUUUUCUAGAAUGACAGUUUAUCUUAGAAGCAAUCUUGUCAUUCAAACUUUCCUUUCUGAUUUGCUCCAUGAGCUCCCACUGGCAUACUUUUGGUUUUAAGAUCUGUUGUAUUUCUUGGCAAGGGCAUCCUAACACCCAGUCACCCUAUUACAUCCCAGGUAAGAAAUAGGAGUAUGCCAAGGAGUUUGUAGAUGGUGAACUGAGCAUUAGAGUAGAGCCUUGCAGUUCAGGAGAGGCUGAAAGGGGCCAGGGGGCUAAGGAGAGGAGACCUGGGACAUGGUGCACCACAGAGCUGGAAUCAGGACAGGAACCCACUCAGAGGGCACACAGCUGGGAAGGGCCCAUGGGGCUACUUAGGAGAGGGACCAAGAAGUUGAGCAGGCCUGUGCUCUACAACCCCUCAUACAUACUGACCCACACUCAUAUGCUCACACACUAAUAUUGCCCACUCAAACACAAAAACAUUCACCGAAACACACAAGUACAAGAUGGCUUCACACUGGAGCUCACAAACACACCAGGCACUCAGAGUCACAGACACUACAUCCACUCAUAUCUAUACUCAAACAUACACACAGACACAUCGUUAGCCAAACACAGGUUCAAAACAAGCAUGCUCACGCACAUGCUCACACACACACACACACACACACACACACAGACACACAGACACGCACGCACGCAUGCACCACACUUCCAUAGCCUGCCACAUUCACCUGUCUCUUCCUUUUAUGGUACCCAAGAAGCCACAGUAGGUGGCAGGUGAUAACAAUGUUUCUGUUUACAGAUGGAGAAACUGAAAGGGAGGGGGCUUCUUGAGAGCUCAAGGAUUUGGCUUAGACCCAGAACUGGAUGUCAGGCUCCGUCCUCCUGACACCCAGCGUGACAUGGAUACACUAGGAGCACGUAGGGACACUGUUGCACCAUAACAGCCUUCUAUCACAUGAGACCUCCCAGGGACAGAAACAUUGAACCAAGGCCAGGGCCAUCGGGAAACUAGUCUGUAUCUCUCUAAGUAACAAAUUGAACCUGGGCCCUGCAGGGCCACUUUCUGCCUCACAUACAGAAGUUUGGAGUACAGAACCCUAUCCACUGUGGUGUCUGCCACCGGACCAGAAGUAGGACUAUGUGUACAGAGCAGGAAGACAGUUCUCUAAGAAUGUCCCACCGCCCACGCAUGCAUGGUGGCAGGAGAUGAAGCCAGCUGUGGCCACAGAGUUCUGGUUCAGAGCAAAUAUUGUCCUAAAGUGGUUCUGGAACGUGCCUUGUGCAUUUGUGUUUUUGUGUGUGUGUUUUGGGAGCUGUUGCAUUGACAGUGGCUGCCAGCCAGCCUCCACAGAGGAAAGUAGGGUAGCUAGACAGUCUCUUGGGGGCCCAGCACCUGCAUCUCACAUCUGUCUCUGCUUUAUAUCUAGGGCUGUCCAUCCGCCAUGAGCUUGUACUGGUGAGGCAGCACAGGUGCCCAUAUGAAGGACUCUCCUGCCAAAGGUUAGGAGGGAGGGCAGACUCAGCUAAGGAACUGAGUCCUAUUACUGGACCAGGUCCAACUGGAGAAAAUGCUCUUACCAACCUUAGAACCAGCCAUUGAAGUCAGUCACCAGAUACUUGUUCCAGAGCUUAGAGUCCUCUGCAGCACCCCAGAGGUAGCCACCAGACCUGGCAACCCCAGACAUGACCUUGGGUACCUGCCAUUCCCUGGACAGGAAGAAUUAGGCAAAUGGUGUGGAGCCAGUUCUCUGGUGUCCACCAUUCCUGCACAGCUGAAGGGCUCACUACUCUCAGCUCCUCAGAUGGACAGAUGAUGGUAAGUCACAUUUUAUCCCCAUGAGUAUGACUAUCAUCAGAGACCUCAUGGACCUGCCCAGUGUUCUCAGGAAUGUUCUAGAAGCAAAGGUAAUAAGGUGCCUAAGGUUAGGAUAGGUGGAACGAGGUAGGCUAUGAAGGAAGGAACUCAGGAAAUAUGGGGACCAGAGCCGCCACUGGAGCCAAGGACAGUUCUUGGCCCUCUGUGUGUGUUAGACACCCGGUAUCAUCAAGUCUACCCAUAUGCUGUUGUGGGGUGUCAAUUCCACCCACUCUUGCUCCCCAUAAGGCUGCCUCAAAUACUAGCUUGUUUAGAUGGCAUUUGUAGGUUGACUCCUGCCCACCUAACAGGUUCUUCCCUGGGCAUUAGAAUUCCAGGUUCUCUCUCAAGGACACCUAGUUUCUCUUCCAAAGAGAAAGCCUUCAGACAGACUUGGCUCCCCAUACAUGUCUCUCAAUGAUGUAAUCUUGCUUGCUCUUCAGUGAAUUUCGUUUGGUACCCGGCACAGGUCGGUGGGCACACAGAGGUAGUGGCCAAGUUAGAAUUUGAGGCUCUGGGGAAAGUUAGGACCCUCUGGCCCAAAAUCAUUCCUCUUAUUUUGUAUACCUCUUCUCCUUUGUGGUUUGUUUGUUUGUUUGUUUGUUUGUUUGUUUUGUGGUGAAUGAGCUGGAGAGUGUAGUAUAUGCUCAUGUGUAUGUAUGUCUGUGUGCACGCAGAUGCAUGUGUGUACAUGGGUGUGGAGGCCAGAGGUCAACAUCAGAUGCCUUCCACUAUUGUUCUCUGCCUUAUUAUUUGUUUGUUUGUUUGUUUGUUUGUUUGUUUGAGACAGGGAUGUUAGAACUUGGAGCUCACCAAUUAGCUAGGCUGGCUGAAAACUGAGCUCCUCUGUGCAGCCUCCAAUGCCCAGCUAGAGGUAACCCUCAAUUCCCAGCCUAGCCAUGUGCUUUCUAGGGCCCAAGUUGUUACUGGACUAGACUUUUGCCAAAUCUUCUGAGCUGGUACUGUGAGGCAGAGGUGAGGGAUGGACCAACAGGAAAUCAGGUGAGGCCAGCAUGAUUUUUCUAAGGGGCUGACCCAGCCAUGGCCCUUUCUACAGAUCUCUCUAGGUCUCUGCCUUCUUCUUCUGGGACCAGAAAACCCUGCAUAUCCCUCUUAACCAUUACUGAAUGUUGGGGGUGAUCUGUGAUGGGAAAGACGGAGCUUGGGACUCAGCUAAGAGAUCCAGAUACCCCCAUGUAUUCUACACAUCAUUUUGGAGAAUGUGGGGGGCCUGGAAAGAAAUAAGUGGCCCCCUGAAGCCCAAAAGUAGCCCAGAUGGACACAGGCAUGCGGGCAAGGAUAAGUGUCCCGACUGUGGGGAGGAAGUCAGGAUGAUGUGGGCAGUUGUGGUCUCUGUGGGUCUGACACAGAGGUUCAUUGCUGUAAACAUUCCUUCUCUGAAGGCGUCCUGGGAACUUCAGGUACCGCCCUCAGGGGACUGCAGAAAUGUCUCUCCCUGGCCUUCUCAAUCCCACAGCCACCUACCUCCAUGCCUUUCUCACCUGGUCACCUCAGGGCCUUGAGAAACCAAAACCUCCCCCACAAACACCUUCCACCUGAGAUCCCUGACCUACCCCAGGUCUUGGAACCACAGACCCCAAAACCUGACACUCUUGCCAUCACAGCCAUUUGGAGGCCUCCUGUAUCCCUUUUUCCAGUGUGACAAAAGCCACCAUGGGAGACAUGCCCUGACCCUCAGCCAUCACCCCAUAACCUGAUCUUGAGUUUCUCAGACCUGGGGAAGACCCUCGAAUGUGGGAAACCCCCCCUAAAGUUUCCAUAGGAGCUUUCAACCUGGAGCAGAUAAAUGCUGGAAUGAAGACCUUCCUGAAUGCUACUCAGGCUGUCACGUCUCCCUGGCUCCCCAGCCCAUUCUUGUCUAAUUCCAAAGCAGAUCCGCUGGACUUCAGAGAGACUGUGGGAUGCCUUGCCUUUAAUUACAACCAGAACUUGAAAACUCAAAGAAGGAGCCACUGGCCUUCUCCCCCACAUCACACCCCAAGCUGAGAGUUCUCGCAGAGCUCACACCGCAGGACCUAGAGCUUUCCUUCUCUUCCUUCAAGGAGGAUGUGGAGAUUUUGAAUCCAUUCUUCUGACGCCUGCUCUUUCCCUGAGACUUGCAGUAGGCUCCUCUCCUGACUGAUGUUUUAUAAUGGUAGGGCAACCGGGACUGACCAGAGGGGCAACGGUUAAAAGCACAGCUCAGAGACCUCAAGGCUUUGCCACGUAUUCUUUUUUUGACAGCCUUAGAGGUAUGAUGACUUCAACCCCUGCCCUCAUAAAGAACAACUCACUGGGGGCUGGAGAGAUGGCUCAGUGGUUAAGAGUGUUGUUGCUCUUACAGAGGACCUGGGCUCAGUUCUGUGACUCAACAACCAUCGGUAGAAGAGAGCCCUCUGAGAGCUCUGUGCCCCAAGUGUAAACACAGACACACAUGUGCAUCUAUGUGAACGAGGUACACUAACCAUCUGACUGGAGACAGACUAAGAAGAGCAGUGGAUUUGAUAGCAUGUGGCUCCCAGAGUGGGUUCCCUGAGGCUGCUGUCUGUGGGAUUGCCACAGAGAUGCCACAACCUGGGUGUUUCUGCCAUCUUUGGAGGUGGGGGCCACGGUCUAUGGAGAGCAGCUCAAAACCUCCAGGAUUCUACUCAUACCUGUCCUCGCUGUUCUGGUAGCUUUUUACUUUUGACUAUCAACCUCAUUGGAUUGAGACACCUAGGACAUCUGCGCAAACAUUUCCAGAGACAAUAAACUGGGCAGUGUGUGUAUGUGUGGAAAGGCUUGGUUAUUGGUGGCACCAUCCAUCGGCUACGGUCCCCGAUGGAAGAAAAGCAAAGGGGAGAAAGUAAGCUAAACACCAGCAUUCCCCGCUCUGCCCCCUGGUCUGCUGAUGUGAAGACAAGCAGCUCGGGUGCACACUGUCAUGGAGCUGCCUACAACCAUGACCUUCCCACCAGGAUGCCCUAUAUCCCCUAGCCUGUGGGAGGGAAAAAAUCCUUCCUCCUUUAAGUUGUUUUUAUCAGGUAUUUGGUUAUAGAAAUGAGGAGUAAUUCAUUCCUGGUUUGCUCAUACGAGAAGGGCUCGUCUCAUCUUUCAGACCCUAUGAAGCAACUCACUGGACAAUAACUCGUUGCUUUCAAGGGAAGCCAGAAGUCACCAUACAUGACAUUGUGUGCUGGCAAAUGGAUA